rnacentral:rRNA from 1 species
AUUGAACGCUGGCGGCAGGCCUAACACAUGCAAGUCGAACGGUAACAGGAAGCAGCUUGCUGCUUCGCUGACGAGUGGCGGACGGGUGAGUAAUGUCUGGGAAACUGCCUGAUGGAGGGGGAUAACUACUGGAAACGGUAGCUAAUACCGCAUAACGUCGCAAGACCAAAGAGGGGGACCUUCGGGCCUCUUGCCAUCGGAUGUGCCCAGAUGGGAUUAGCUAGUAGGUGGGGUAACGGCUCACCUAGGCGACGAUCCCUAGCUGGUCUGAGAGGAUGACCAGCCACACUGGAACUGAGACACGGUCCAGACUCCUACGGGAGGCAGCAGUGAGGAAUAUUGGUCAAUGGGCGCAAGCCUGAACCAGCCAUCCCGCGUGAAGGAAGAAGGCGCUAUGCGUUGUAAACUUCUUUUCCGGAGGAAUAAAAUUUUGUACGAGUACAGGACUGAAGGUACUCCGGGAAUAAGCAUCGGCUAACUCCGUGCCAGCAGCCGCGGUAACAC